rnacentral:lncRNA from 1 species
AGUGCUAAGUGUUCUUCUAAGAAAGGGAUUAUCACACUAACCAGUUAAGGGAGUUUGCCAGAAAUAAAGCACCCAGGGAAUUAUUCUUCAGGUUGUAUUGUGGCUGCUGUGUCUAAGAGAUCAAGGCAGGUUGUUGGGCUUCUGAGGCCAGCAAAAGGCCCUAAAGAUAAAAUGUUUAUUGUAGGUCUGUAGCAUAUUGUCUUCCUUCCUUUCUUCCUUCCUUGCUUCCUUCCAACCUUCCUUCCUUCUUUUAAACUAUAUUUGAAAUUUAAAAUAAUGUUGUUUUGAAAGAAACGAUGCACAUUAUUAUAUUAGCAUUUUAAUCAGCUUCAAGUAGCCGAACCAAAGCUUAAAAUUUGUGAUUCUACAUCUGCCCCCAAGGAAUCCUAUGUAGCAACAUGAAAGAGUGAAGUCUGAUAUUUACAGCCUUGGGUGUCCUUCUAAAACAUGAUGCUGAGGAGGUAAGCUUAUACAUCUUAUAUUUGCAUGAAUUUGGAAACAAACAAAAUUAAUCUGUAGUAUCUAAAGAAAUCCUGGUUGCUUCAGGCCCGAGAUUGACUAAGAACAUGGGGGCCCUCCAGGUCAUGCAGAUAACCCACAUGUUAGUAGGGUGUGCAUAAUGUGAGUGCUUCUAUCAAAAUUCACAAAUGUAUACUAAAAUAUCUAUAUUUGUACCACAUCAACACUUGUAAAAGUAAAAUACUUUGUUAUGAAGUCAAUUAUUAAAAAAAAAACCCUGAAAACAGAUAAAAGUGAAUUGGCCUUUAUUGGUCUUACAGCAGUUUCAUCUACAAUGUUAGAUAUUUGAGUGGGUAUAUCUAUUCUGUUACAGUGCAUAUUUGCGAGCCUCAGGAUCCCUCUGAGACUAUGUCUGGUCUAGAAAGCAUUGCAUUCAUUUAUAGUUUUCUGCAAUCAGUGGGAGCUUGAUUGAGUUAGAAAGCGUACCAUUUGAAUUUCACUGUGAUCUAUCUUCCUUUUUAGAAAUGAGAGGAGAGACGUACUUAACUGUGUUUGAUUGAGUGACAGUUGAUAGAUCUUGUUUCUCAGUGUGAGGCUAGGUUUAAUCUCUAUUAAAUGCACAUGUCACUUCUCAGAUGCUGGCUGGCUUGAUGAUUUGAAAGGACCUCGGGUAAUAAGCAAAUAUUUCUAUGACUCUAGAGUCACUGUUUGCUCUUAGCAGGACCUAGGUUUUUCUCAGUUGCCACUUAUACUUGGCUAGGGAGCUGAAGACAGUCAAAUUCUAAGGCCACUAGCUGAUGAUCUAGUUGAUGCCCUAAGUCUGUGAUUAAUCUAUAUUGUAUUCUUGGCAGAAACACAUAAUUACAAAUGAGGGAUUGGAUUGUGCCCUCAGGAGGAACGUGAGUCCCUGAUCUAUACCCACAGUGCCAGUUCGCUGCUUAGUUGGUGCCUUCUGUGGACAAGGUACAGUGAUUUGGAGGUGACCCUUGCUCUUUGUAGAAUUUUGAAGUGUUUGAGAGGGUGCUUAACCUCUACUCCAGCAUGACUUUUCUUUAAAGCAGAAUGCAACACAUUUUUUUCGGAUCAGAAAAUGCAACAGCAGAGACCAGUGCCGUUUAUGUCUUUGAAAAAUGUGCUAUAUAGCAGCUGUCCCAAGAUGUACCAACUAGCUCAGGGAUGGAUGGCUCAUAUCAUGUGCUGGGCUCCGGGAUGCUCUUCCGGAUGGCCAGUGUAACUGUUGCUUCACUGCUUCCAAUGCUCCUGCAGGUCUCUUGUGUCCCAGCCUAAUGAGAAACUCUCAGAACUCGUUUCGCCUAAAUACUAAAGAGUCACCGUACCUUGCUGAUCAUGACAUUCAACUGGAGAAAAUUAUCCUGGAAACCAGAAGGUCUAUCAGGCAAACUCGGGUUAUUGACAGGCUAAGAACAUUUGUCAGGGCACUGGAUUUCUUCUUCAAAGAGAAAGAAAUAUCUCCCUCUUCCCAGAGUCAUUAGAUAUAAGCUCCCCCUUUUCUGUUUCAGACUGUAGUCUCUCAUAUAACAAAAAGGGGUGUGUGGAAUCCUUCUUAUCCUUGAAGGUCAUGUUCAGCUCUUAUUUUGUCCUUUUCCACUCCCAUUAAAUUUCUUGUCUCCAAGUCUUGCUUACCCUGUUUCCUCUGAUUCUGGACCAAGGCAGCCUGCUAAGCCUGCAAGAACACCAGGCAGGCAAAGGGAGUCUGAAUGUUUGCCUAAACUCUCUGAGCUGUUAAAGUGAAACACUGAGGGCAAAGGCUAACUGCAAGUGAUGGAAUUAAAUAUUUACCAUGUUAGCCAUGACCACUCAGGGGUUUCAGGAAAAGCUAACCAUAUUGCAUGGAGUUUUUUCUCCUGCUUUCCAGAUGAUAUCCAGUCUCGAGUAAAUUUGCCAGCUCUCGGGGAACGCUAUUCAGCAACAUUAAUUUCUUUGCCUACUUACAGUUUCAAGCAAUUAUAAUCUUGGCAGUUUCACCUGCCUUGAGUAAGAACUUGUACACUUUGUUGAUAUCUGGCAGAACUAACACUCUCCUGCAAAGACUUACGUUUCAAUACUGCUAAUUCUACAAGGCACUUGAGCUGUGGAUUAGCGUUUUAUGGACAUUUGGGCCAAAGUUUUAUUACUCAAUUGUCUCAAAUGGAAAAAU